GAAGGGGGCUAGCGUUGCUCGGAAUUACUGGGCGUAAAGGGCGCGUAGGCGGACAGUUUAGUCAGAGGUUAAAGCCCAGGGCUCAACCUUGGAAUCGCCUUUGAUACUGGCUGUCUUGAGUACGGGAGAGGUGUGUGGAACUCCGAGUGUAGAGGUGAAAUUCGUAGAUAUUCGGAAGAACACCAGUGGCGAAGGCGACACACUGGCCCGUUACUGACGCUGAGGCGCGAAAGCGUGGGGAGCAAACAGGAUUAGAUACCCUGGUAGUCCACGCUGUAAACGAUGAGUGCUAGUUGUCGGCAUGCAUGCAUGUCGGUGACGCAGCUAACGCAUUAAGCACUCCGCCUGGGGAGUACGGUCGCAAGAU
rnacentral:rRNA from 1 species